rnacentral:lncRNA from 1 species
GGUCAGUUUACCAGAGAUCUGUGGGGUGUGUGUGUGUGUGUAGGGAUCACAGGGCAGUGAUGAGUGCCUGUUGGAAGCCUAUGGUUAUAAACUAAAGUGCAAGCUGUCAGCUGGCUGCGUGGGUCUCUCUGGAAACACUCAGGUGCUGAGGUGCAGGCGUGGAGAAGAUGCAUAGGUGGGUGCGCGUGGACUGGGGAUUUCGCCAGGUGAGAAGAGGUAAGGAGGAAGGUGCGAGGGAUUAGGAGUGAUUUGCAGGGGACAGAUUUUUUUUUUAAGAUUUCAUUUUUAUUUAUUUGAGAGAAAGAGAGAACACAAGAGGGGGGAAGGUCAGCGGGGGAAGCAGGCCUCCCCCCCAGAAGAGAGCUCGACUUGGGGCUCGAUCCCCGCACUCUAGGAUCAUGACCCGAGCCGGAGGCAGACGCCCAACCAACCGACCCACCCAGGUGCCCUGCAAGGGGCAGAUUCGAGUGAGCUAUAAUUAGGCGUAUCCCCAAAACUGUCUAGAUGGAAGAGAUGCAGAACAUGCUGGUUUGGGGUCAUGAGCUAAUGGGCCGUGGUGAGGGUUUAGACAGAUCGCCAUGGGUGAGUGUGCAGUGAGGAGGAAGAGGGCCAGUGACCAAAGCUGGAAAAUCAGCACUUAAGGGGUGAUUGGGGAGCCUUCUGGGGAGAUGGAGGGAGGGCAAACCAGGCGAGGUGGUGCCAUGCAGACCAGGAGGUAGGAGGAGAAGCUGGGCCCGGCUGUGUGGCCUGCUUCCAGGCAGUCCCGGAGGCUGGAACUGUUCAUCUGGAGGCCACCCUGACCAGGCGAGGUUUUCAGAGGCGAGGCCGCAGGGGCUGGCCAGAGUGAGGACGGGAAGGGGGGAGGCGGGGAAACAGUGAGUAGGGUCAGAGGAUCGACCGCGUUAGAAAAGGAGAGAACUGGACCCGGUCUGGAGAAAUGAGAAAUCGGUUAAUUUUCCAAGAAGCUGUAGGAAAAAGAAGUUACAAUUUGAACUCGGGGGUUAUAUUUGGAACCAGAAAACAGCACUUGGCUUCCUCGGGGCCCGGAGCUGUGAAGGAAGUGACUGGGUUCCAGAGAUGUUAAGCCACCUGUCCAGGGUCACCCAGCCAGGAGAUGACUGAGAGAGGAGACCGGACUGCACAUUCCUUCCUACUACCGAGUAAGGCCUCAGAUGUCCCAUAAAUCCACGCUUCAUUAGAAUAGGGUCUAUUUAAGAUGAUCGCAAGUUAAGUCUGUGG